rnacentral:lncRNA from 1 species
CCUGACUCCGCGUCUCCCCCGCCCUCAGGUUUGCCAAGCUGCUGCUUCGUCUUCCCGCUCUCAGGUCCAUAGGCCUUAAGUGUCUAGAGCAUCUGUUUUUCUUCAAGCUCAUCGGUGACACCCCCAUCGACACCUUCCUCAUGGAGAUGCUUGAGGCUCCCCACCAGCUGGCCUGAGCCCGCAUACAGACCUGCUGUCCCUCACGCUGGGGGAGGGCACAGCGGCAAGGGACUCUGGGCCUCGGGGCAGGGUGGGGAGGGACUGUGUUCCUAGAAUCUUGAUGGGAUGGAGGAGCACAGGGCAGAACUGAUGCCUCCAGGGGGUGUCCCUAAACCCUGUAAGGGUUUGCUUGAGGUCCCAAGUCAGAGGGACCCAGACCACUGGUGGGCCUCUCCCUGCGGCGGCCUCGAGUCUCCGAGUUUGUCUGGCUCUGCCAUGGUCUGGGGGCGCUUUCAGAACUCCAGCCUGGAGUGGCCUCUCCUCCCCCAGCACAAAGCCCCGUCCUUGCUCCCAGGUCCUUGCUGCUCGUCUUGCCUCACUCGGCAUCCCCAUCUGAAGAAUGGAAAGAGAACUCCCGCAGAGAUGGAUAUUGGGGGGCAGGCCCCCCAAACUGAUGGACAUGGGAGGAAAGCUCUGCCAGGCCUUCCUCUAACCCAGCCUGGCAGAUGGGGGCUUCUCUGGAAGGAGGGGACCCUGUCACUGUCUCCUGGCCAGAGUCCCGUCUCACACUUCCCCACCUCCGGCAGUCAGCCUGGGACGCUGAGUGUCCUGGCCUGAUUGAGGGGAGAUGGCCGGCCUGCGGAGGUGAGGUGCUGGGGCUGCAUGACUUCUGCCCUGCGGCUCUUCUCUCCGGGGUUCCCUUCCCCUAUCUUUCACUCACAUAAAAUUGCUUUCAAAUUAAAAUCGCUGU